rnacentral:rRNA from 1 species
ACUUUGCAGUCUGAGUAAACUUGAAUUAAUAAAUUAAAACUUUUAACAACGGAUCUCUUGGUUCUGGCAUCGAGUGAAGAACGCAGCGAAAUGCGAUAAGUAAUGUGAAUUGCAGAAUUCAGUGAAUCAUCGAAUCUUUGAACGCACAUUGCGCCCCCUGGUAUUCCGGGGGGCAUGCCUGUUCGAGCGUCA